rnacentral:rRNA from 1 species
CCUUCGGGCCUUCCGCGAUUGGAUGAACCUAGGUGGGAUUAGCUAGUUGGUGAGGUAAUGGCUCACCAAGGCGACGAUCCCUAGCUGUUCUGAGAGGAUGAUCAGCCACACUGGGACUGAGACACGGCCCAGACUCCUACGGGAGGCAGCAGUGGGGAAUAUUGCACAAUGGGGGAAACCCUGAUGCAGCCAUGCCGCGUGUGUGAAGAAGGCCUUCGGGUUGUAAAGCACUUUCAGUAGGGAGGAAAGGUAAUAGUUUAAUAAACUAUUACUGUGACGUUACCUACAGAAGAAGGACCGGCUAACUCCGUGCCAGCAGCCGCGGUAAUACGGAGGGUCCGAGCGUUAAUCGGAAUUACUGGGCGUAAAGCGUGCGCAGGCGGUUUGUUAAGCCAAGAUGUGAAAUCCCCCGGGGCUCAACCUGGGAAUUGCAUUUGGGAACUGGCGAACUAGAAGUCUUGUAGAGGGGGGGUAGAAUUC